GACAAAAGACAUGUGGUUAUAAGAUUUUACAGCCACAAAGUCCACAUACGAGGAGCUUUACAUGAAUGAACUUAUCAGGCUGUUCCUGAUCGAGUCAUCACAUUGCUACCAUACUUGGUCGUGAUUGGCUGACAUUGUUGAAGAGAUACUGAAACCCUCUGAAGCAGACCCUGGAGAAAAGCUUGAAGCACGAUAUUAUUGGCUUACCCCACGAGGCCCAGUAGCACUGAGAGUGAGCCACACUGCUCCACCCUGCUGUGGGUCACAGGAGUUUUAGAUGUGUGGUGGUUUGAGGAUCGGGCAGCAGUCAGUUGGGAGGAUUGCCAGUCUGAUCUCUGACUGUUCAAACUGACUUCAGGGAUAUUGAAAAGUAAAAUGUUUGAUGUAAAUCUGAUUCUAUAAGCUGUGCCAGAAGUUUUAAAUAAAUGCAUCUGCAGGGGUUGUGAAAAGCAAACACUGAUUAAUGGCAAUUUGGCUUCUGAAAAUGUGUUUUCUUAAAAGAUAAACAGCGACUCAUUCAUCAAAAUGUCAACUACCAGCAACUUCUUUGUUUAAAACUACAUUUAUAAUUUAAAUUGCCACAUGGAAACUAAACUGUUUACUAGAACUCCUCCUG
ensembl:lncRNA